UACGUAGGGAGCAAGCGUUGUCCGGAAUCAUUGGGCGUAAAGCGCGCGUAGGCGGCCAUGUAAGUCCGCUGUGAAAGUCCAAGGCUCAACCUUUGAAAGCCGGUGGAUACUGCAUGGCUAGAGUACGGAAGAGGCGAGUGGAAUUCCUGGUGUAGCGGUGGAAUGCGCAGAUAUCAGGAGGAACACCAAUAGCGAAGGCAGCUCGCUGGGACGUUACUGACACUGAGGCGCGAAAGCGUGGGGAGCGAACAGG
rnacentral:rRNA from 1 species